rnacentral:rRNA from 1 species
GAUGAUCGCUGGCGGCGUGCCUAAUACAUGCAAGUCGAGCGAACAGACGAGGAGCUUGCUCCACUGACGUUAGCGGCGGACGGGUGAGUAACACGUGGAUAACCUACCUAUAAGACUGGGAUAACUUCGGGAAACCGGAGCUAAUACCGGAUAAUAUAUUUAACCGCAUGGUUCAAUAGUGAAAGACGGUUUUGCUGUCACUUAUAGAUGGAUCCGCGCCGCAUUAGCUAGUUGGUAAGGUAACGGCUUACCAAGGCAACGAUGCGUAGCCGACCUGAGAGGGUGAUCGGCCACACUGUAACUGAGACACGGUCCAGACUCCUACGGGAGGCAUCGGUAGGGAAACUUCCGCAAUAGGCGAAAGCCUGACGGAGCAACGCCGCGUGAGUGAUGAAGGUCUUCGGAUCGUAAAACGCUGUUAUUAGGGAAGUACAAAUGUGUAAGUAACUAUGCACGUCUUGACGGUACCUAAUCAGAAAGCCACGGCUAACUACGUG